rnacentral:rRNA from 1 species
CUGACACAGGGAGGUAGUGACAAUAAAUAACAAUGCCGGGCCUAUCUAGGUCUGGCAAUUGGAAUGAGAACAAUUUAAAUCCCUUAUCGAGGAACAAUUGGAGGGCAAGUCUGGUGCCAGCAGCCGCGGUAAUUCCAGCUCCAAUAGCGUAUAUUAAAGUUGUUGCAGUUAAAAAGCUCGUAGUUGAAUUUCUGGUGGGAGUGUACAGUCCGACACUGAGUGUUGGUUCUUGUGUGUCUCCGGCCAUCCUUGGAGUGAAUCUGUCUGGCAUUUAGUUGUUGGGCAGAGUAUCUCCAUCGUUUACUGUGAGGAAAGGAAAGUGUUCAAAGCAGGCUUACGCCGUUGAAUCUUUUAGCAUGGAAUAAUAAGAUAGGAUCUUGAUACUAUUUUGUUGGUUUGCGUGUCGAGAUAAUGAUGAAUAGGGACAGUUGGGGGUAUUUGUAUUCCAUAGUCAGAGGUGAAAUUCUUGGAUUUAUGGA